rnacentral:rRNA from 1 species
AGCGAACGCUGGCGGAAUGCUUAACACAUGCAAGUCGCACGGGUGGUUUCGGCCAUUAGUGGCGGACGGGUGAGUAACGCGUAGGAACGUGUCCUGGGAUGGGGGAUAACGCUGGGAAACUGGCGCUAAUACCGCAUAUCUCCUGAGGGAGAAAGCCGCGAGGCGUCUUGGGAGCGGCCUGCGUCCGAUUAGCUUGUUGGUUAGGUAAUGGCUGACCAAGGCGAUGAUCGGUAGCUGGUCUGAGAGGAUGAUCAGCCACACUGGGACUGAGACACGGCCCAGACUCCUACGGGAGGCAGCAGUGGGGAAUAUUGGACAAUGGGCGCAAGCCUGAUCCAGCAAUUCCGCGUGGGUGAGGAAGGUCUUCGGAUUGUAAAGCCCUUUCGGCGGGGACGAUGAUGACGGUACCCGCAGAAGAAGCCCCGGCUAACUUCGUGCCAGCAGCCGCAGUAAGAC